CCUACGGGUGGCUGCAGUGGGGAAUAUUGGACAAUGGGCGGAAGCCUGAUCCAGCCAUGCCGCGUGUGUGAAGAAGGCCUUUUGGUUGUAAAGCACUUUAAGCGAGGAGGAGGCUCUUAAGGUUAAUACCCUUGAUGAGUGGACGUUACUCGCAGAAUAAGCACCGGCUAACUCUGUGCCAGCAGCCGCGGUAAUACAGAGGGUGCGAGCGUUAAUCGGAUUUACUGGGCGUAAAGCGUGCGUAGGCGGCUGAUUAAGUCGGAUGUGAAAUCCCU
rnacentral:rRNA from 1 species